rnacentral:lncRNA from 1 species
UUUAUUACUUCCUUUGCAAUCCUUUUUAAGACCUAGCUAUCUCAUUUAUCUAGCCAAAUUUAUUUUCGUAAUGAUCAAUUAAACGAAUAUUGUGUUAUCUUUUUUUUAAAAAAAAUAUUUUUUUAUCAUACUUCUUAAUUAAAAUUAUUUUAAAUUAUUUCUAAAUUUUUUUCAACUCGGCCAGUCUACUUAAUUUAGUGAUU